GUAUGCUGCCUUUUGAAUAAAAAAAAAAUUAGACAUGCAGGUAUUCCGUUAUUGUUGCAAACAGAAACCACGGGAAGGAGACAGAACUCAUGGACUCGGUGACUGGAGAACAAAGUUUGAGCGUCUGAGGUUACUUAACGAUUUCACAUUUAAAAAUUAUUUAAAUUAAGUAAAAAAGGAUACAGAACACAUAAAUGGAACACAAGAAAACAAACAAAUGGGCAUUUUCAACGCAUAAAUGUUUAGGAGUGGAGACCGGCCAAGAGCCGCCUUGCACCGCAAAUGGGCCCUGAGGUCCAGGGCUGCAGGAGCAGGCUGGGGGGCCCGGCCAGAUGGAGGGGCAGACACCGGCACUCGCUGCCUACGUCACCGCCCUCAGUGCUGCCCACAAGCGGGUGCCCCACUGGGUCCUGCCACCCCAAAUCCCAGUACCAGAGCCAGGCCCGGCUCUGCCACCCCUGCCACCCGGUGCGGCACCCAGGCCCUGCUGGCACAAGGCCAUGGCUAAUCUGCUCUCAGAGGAAGCUGAGGAGCCCUGGUGUCUUCUCCCUGGGACACCCUGCUGCUCCCUCUAGCUGUGCCCUCCAUGGUGACUCCAGACAUGCACAUUCAGCCUCCUCCCUCCAGGACCAAACUCCUCAGCAGCUCCCACUACUCCCAGCAUGCCAUCUACCUCCUCAGCCCAGCAGCAAAGACAGGCACAGAAUGGUUCCCGAACCCAUCACUCCCGUCCGGAGAAGGAGCCCUCCACCCUCCACGCUCCAUUCGCUGUCCCCUCACCGGCCCCUGUGAGGAACCCCAGCCAGAGACACCAAUGGCCGCCACUGACUUUCACCCUGUCCUGAAUCACAGGACCAAGGAGGCUGCCCCGACAAGGGUCACUUCCAGACUCACUCCCUGUCAGCCACUGCCACAUGCCUGCCGUGGGCAGCAUUGGAGGACUAGGGGUACUCUGUCAGUCAGCCUAACAGGCUGGUCUGUCCUUCCUUCCUUCCUUCCUUCCUUCUUCCCUCCCUCCAUCCCUCCCUCCCUCCGUUCCUUCCUUCCUUCCUUCCUUCCUCCCUUCUUCCCUCCCUCCAUCCCUCCCUCCCUCCGUUCCUUCCUUCCUUCCUUGCUUCUUUCCUCCCGCUCUCCCUCCCUCCGUUCUCUGCUCCCUUCCUGUCUCCCUUUCCCUCCCUCCCUUCCUUCCUUCUUUCUUUCCUUCCUUUCUUCCUUCCUUCUUUGUUUCCUUCCUUAGUUCCUUCCUUCCUUCCUGCUUCUCUCCCUUCCUCCCUCCCUCACUUCCUUCCUUCUUCCUUCCUGCCUCCCUCCCUUCCUUCUCUGCUCCCUCCCUCCUCCUUCCCCCUCCUUCCCUGCCUCCCUCCUCCCUCCUUCUCUGCCUCCUCCCUCCCCCCUCCCUUCCUUCCUUCUCUGCUCCCUCCCUUCCUCCUCCCUCCUCCCUCCUCUCUCCCUUCCUUCCUUCCUUCCUUCUCUGCUCCCUCCCUCCUCCCUCCCUCCCUCCUCCCUCCCUCUCUCCCUCUCUCCCUCCUCCCUCCCCCCUCCCUUCCUUCCUUCCUCUCUGGUCAAAUGCAGGUACAUGAGAGUUCCCAUCGUCACCAUGGUAAGUGCACAGUUCCGUGGCAUUGGGAACCUGCACAUGGCCGUGCCACUGUCGCCACCAUGCAGCUCCAGCACCUUUUCAUCAUGCGAAACUGGAGCUCCGUCCUGACUAAUCACUCACUCCCAUCGGCCUCUGUCACUGGCCCUGCUGACUGCCAUUCUGCCAUCUUCCUCUUGAAUCUGACUCCUCUGGGGGCCUUCCAUCUGUGGGGUCAAAGCGUUGGUCCUAUUGUGACUGGCUGGCUUCACUCGGCACGAGGCUGUGAAGGCUGGUGGCGUUGCUGCAUGCGUCAGAGCACACUCCUUUUCCAGGCUCCGUAAGACCCCGAUGUGUGUGUCUACCCCAUUUCAGAUCCCCUCACCUGCUGGGUUGUUUCCACCUUUAGGCUAUUGUGACUGCACAGCUGUGAGCAUGGGUGUCUGAGUCCAUUCUGUGUGGCCAUAAAAGAACCUCUGUGAUGGGGUAAUUCAUCAAGCUCACAGUUCUGCCGGCUGAGAAGUUCAAUGGCAUGGCCCUGGCUUCUGUUGGAGGAGGUCAAAGGGGAAGCAGACACGGGAAGAGAGAUAAAGCUCAGGGAUGUCUUGGCUUCAGAACAAGCCCCACUCAUGGGAACAAAUCCAUUCCCGUGGGAACUCACCCCGUAUCACAAGAGGAGAAUCACUCCCAGCACCAGGCACUCCCUAGGGAGUCACUCCCACGACCCACACGUCUCCCUCUCCUCAGGCCCCAUCUCCCUACGCUGCCACACUGGGGGUCCCGUUUCAACAAGAGUUUUGCUGGGAACAGACGCACCGACUACAUCCAGGUCAUGGCAAGGGCUGUGCAAGUAUCUGAGUCCCUGCUUUGAUUUCUUUUGGGGAUAGACCUAGCAAUGGAAUGGCGGCUUCGCAGGGUAAUUUUGUGUUUACCUGUUUCUGGAAGGAGCACACUGAGCUGGCCAGAGCAGGCUUGUGUUUUCCUCUGUGCUCCUUCCUGCUUCCCAGGAUGCAGAUGAGAUGGCAGGUGCCCCAGCAGCCCUCGCCAACCAUAAGGCAUGGAUUCCUCACCUUCGGCUCAGGGAGCACAGAGACUGAGGGCCGUGGACUCGGGGUGAGAUGGUGGCGCCUCCAUCACAGACCCACAGACUCUGUGUCCAGCCCUUCCAGAAAGGUGACAGAAAUGAAAAUUCCGCCUUAUGGAAGACAAGGCACGGACGCUUUCCCUGACAGUAUCAUCAUCACGCAACUAGGACAGCUGACCUGCGUCUUCCUCACGACGUGGAAUGGUUUGAGUCAAGGGUUUUCAAGGCCACGAGCCACGUGGAGGCUGUGCCUUUUGUUUCCUGUGAGAAAUCUUCAACCAGCGCCACUCUCAGCCUCCCCUCUGCCAGCGCUUCUGUGGCUGCACCUGCAUUCGUGGGCUGUGGCUGCGAAGCACAGGAAUAAUUGAUGGCUCGUGGGGCACUUUGCUGGGCUGCUUCCAGAAAAGUUGACCCCUCCCUGCAAACCAGCACUGCCCAGCAUUCUUGUCCCGCCAAGCCUGACUGCGAGCUGUUGUGGCAUUGCCACUUUGCUCGGAAAGCGCCGCUUAUCUUUUAUUUCCCUUGCAUUUCUUUCAAUUCUACCAUUGACCGUUUCUCAUACAUGUGGUCAUCAUUGUAUUUCACCCCCAUUUUGUGAGGUUUAGUGUAUUCUUAAAGUUUCCUGGGUUUUGAUGAGAGCAUAUUCUGUCAUUAUAUUUAACAGGUGUUUUCCCCAGCUUGGAUGUGUUUGGCCAUUAGCUUCUUUUCUGCUAUUUUACACUAGUCUGUUAUUCUUCACUACAAAAGGACUCUGCCGAGGGUCCCCAUGCUCCCCAUGCUUCGGGCUGUGAGGUAGCAGGGGAAGGCAGGUGUCCUUCCUUCUUUGAAGUGUGGGUUGGGGCAGGACGGCAGACCCUGGGGUCACUGCUGAGGAGGGGAAGGAUGGGAUUAGGACUGUUCUCUUCCUGGCCUCACGAGCUCCCCCAGCUCCUUCUGGUGGUUGGAGAACAAACCUCCUGAUUGUCACGGAGAGUGAGUUUGUCCGUGGGGCCUUUCCUGCGAGGCUCACAUAGAACGGGCUGUGAGGUCCCUCCACUGAGGAGCAUGUGCCGGGCCAGGUGCCCACGACUGUUGGGAAAACCCAGGCCUGUGUUCCAGGAAGCAAAGGUCUUUAGAUGAAGGUUUUAAGAAUGAAAAUUAACCCACAGAAUGGUGAGGUUGGUUGGAGCCUGGAUUCCAUGGGCCUUUACCCUUCUGAUCGCUGGUGCCACGCCCCAUUGUGAGAAGUCAGGAGUCACAUCAGAAACUUGCUUUUCCUCAGCGGCACCUCCUGCUCGUGACGGGCCCUGUUCCUUUCCCCUCAGAGACGUACCUGGGAUCCAUCCUGGCCUCUCAGUCAGGGCCGACUUCCCCACCCCAGUGUUUGCUACCAUGAUUGUGACCUGUUCUAAGCUGAGUUUCUGCAGCUUUGCCGGUCACAUGCAUUCUUUCCUCCCCAAGACAACCCCUCAUCACACAGCAGAGACAGUGGUCACUGAGAACAUGUUCCGCCUCCCAUCUCUCCCCUUCGUGGGCACGUCAGUGGCCUCCUGCUGCACUCUGAACAAAAGCCAGAGACCCUGCUGAACCUGGGAUGGGUUGGUAGAAGAUGGGCUCCCCACGGGACCCGGGCGGGGGACAGCCCCCUCAGCCUCACGGCUUCCCAGACAGAGCGAAGGUGUCCUUCCAGUCUCUCCACAUGUCAUCUUAAAUAAAGUUAGUUAAUUCCA